GAGCGGUAACAGAUCUAGCUUGCUAGAUGCUGACGAGCGGCGGACGGGUGAGUAAUGCAUAGGAAUCUGCCCGAUAGUGGGGGAUAACCUGGGGAAACCCAGGCUAAUACCGCAUACGUCCUACGGGAGAAAGGGGGCUUCGGCUCCCGCUAUUGGAUGAGCCUAUGUCGGAUUAGCUAGUUGGUGAGGUAAAGGCUCACCAAGGCAACGAUCCGUAGCUGGUCUGAGAGGAUGAUCAGCCACAUCGGGACUGAGACACGGCCCGAACUCCUACGGGAGGCAGCAGUGGGGAAUAUUGGACAAUGGGGGCAACCCUGAUCCAGCCAUGCCGCGUGUGUGAAGAAGGCCCUCGGGUUGUAAAGCACUUUCAGCGAGGAAGAACGCCUGGCGGUUAAUACCCGCCAGGAAAGACAUCACUCGCAGAAGAAGCACCGGCUAACUCCGUGCCAGCAGCCGCGGUAAUACGGAGGGUGCAAGCGUUAAUCGGAAUUACUGGGCGUAAAGCGCGCGUAGGUGGCCUGAUAAGCCGGUUGUGAAAGCCCCGGGCUCAACCUGGGAACGGCAUCCGGAACUGUCAGGCUAGAGUGCAGGAGAGGAAGGUAGAAUUCCCGGUGUAGCGGUGAAAUGCGUAGAGAUCGGGAGGAAUACCAGUGGCGAAGGCGGCCUUCUGGACUGACACUGACACUGAGGUGCGAAAGCGUGGGUAGCAAACAGGAUUAGAUACCCUGGUAGUCCACGCCGUAAACGAUGUCGACCAGCCGUUGGGUGCCUAGAGCACUUUGUGGCGAAGUUAACGCGAUAAGUCGACCGCCUGGGGAGUACGGCCGCAAGGUUAAAACUCAAAUGAAUUGACGGGGGCCCGCACAAGCGGUGGAGCAUGUGGUUUAAU
rnacentral:rRNA from 1 species